rnacentral:rRNA from 1 species
AACGUAGGACGCAAGCGUUAUCCGGAAUUACUGGGCGUAAAGCGCGUGUAGGUGGUUGCAUAAGUCACUGUUGAAAGCUCCCGGCUAAACUGGGAGAGGUGCGGUGAGACUGUGUGGCUAGAGUAUGGGAGAGGGAUGCAGAAUUCCGGGUGUAGUGGUGAAAUGCGUAGAGAUCCGGAGGAAUACCAGAGGCGAAGGCGGCAUCCUGGCCUGUUACUGACACUGAGACGCGAAAGCAUGGGGAGCGAACGGG